CCUACGGGUGGCAGCAGUGAGGAAUAUUGGUCAAUGGCCGAGAGGCUGAACCAGCCAAGUCGCGUGAGGGAAGAAUGUCCUACGGAUUGUAAACCUCUUUUGUCAGGGAGCAAAGUCACCCACGUGUGGGUGUUGGAGAGUACCCGAAGAAAUAGCAUCGGGUAACUCCGUGCCAGCAGACGGGGUAAUACGGGGUAGGCGGGCGUUAUCUGGAUUUAUUGGGUUUAAAGGGUGCGUGGGCGGGUUAUCAAGUGAGCGGGAAAAUCGUGGGGCUCAACUCCUUCCAGCAGAUGAGACUGAUGGUCGAGAGUGAGGGAGGGGUAUGCGGAAUGCGUGGUGUAGCAGUGAAAUGCGUAGAUAUCGCGAAGAACUCCGGUUGCGAAGGCAGGAUACCGGCGCCCAACUGACGCUGAGGCACGAAGGCGUGGGGAUCGAACGGGAUUAGAUACCCCAGUAGUC
rnacentral:rRNA from 1 species